UCCCUGGAGGCUCAGACGGUAAAGCAUCUGCCUACAAUGUAGGAGACCCGGGUUCAAUCCCUGGGUUGGGAA
rnacentral:tRNA from 1 species